CCUACGGGUGGCAGCAGUGAGGAAUAUUGGUCAAUGGGCGAGAGCCUGAACCAGCCAAGUCGCGUGAGGGAAGACGGACCUACGGAUUGUAAACCUCUUUUGCCGGGGAGCAAAAGACGCCACGCGUCGCGUCACGAGAGUACCCGAAGAAAAAGCAUCGGAUAACUCCGUGCCAGCCGCCGCGGUAAUACGGAGGAUGCGAGGGUUAUCCGGAUUUAUGGGGUUUAAGGGGUGCGAAGGCGGAAGCGCAAGUCAGCGGUAAAAUUGAGAGGCUCAACCUCUUCCCGCCGUUGAAACUGGUUUUCUUGAGUGAGCGAGAAGUACGCGGAAUGCGUGGUGUAGCGGUGAAAUGCAUAGAUAUCACGCAGAACUCCGAUUGCGAAGGCAGCAUACCGGCGCUCAACUGACGCUCAUGCACGAAAGCGUGGGUAUCGAACAGGAUUAGAUACCCUGGUAGUC
rnacentral:rRNA from 1 species